GCUCGCGCUGCACGGUGUGUGAGAAUCCUGGGACUUGGUGAUGUCAAACUGGUUGGGUCAUUUGAAGGUUAGCUGCCUCGGAUGGGUUCAUAGAAAGUUCACUCGCAUAUAUUAGGCAAUUCAAUCUUUCAUUCUCUGUGUCCAAACUAGUAGGAAAUGAGCUGCAUGGAGGCAGGAUAACCCAUUCGUUAUCCGAACGGGGAGACGUGGUUUUAAAACGCGAACUGUGAUAUUUAUAAGAUAAAUAUUUUCAAUACGGCGGGCUCGAGCGAGGACCGUGUUGUUAAUGGCACGGGACGGGACGGUGCAAAACAUUUAUACGAUAAACACGUUGGGACGUUACGGAGCUGACUGACACCUUUUCAUUGCAACAACCGGACUCCGGAGGAAAUGGCAAAUCAUAAUUUGGGUCAAUUACAAGCUUUUAGCGGUGUUGUCUGUCAUAGUUCUUGAUUGUUUUAGUCUAGGAAGAAGACCAAGAUUUUACGUGCCAAAAAAGGGUCAGAAUUUGAUGGAGUUGUGUGCACUUAUGUUUGCGAUUCUUACCCAAACCUCAAGGACCCUUUAAAGGCACACAAUACCAGGGUGACUGUUGCGACUAAGGGACAUCAUGUUUGACUGUAUGGAUGUGCUAGCGGUGAGCCCUGGACAAAUGUUGGAUUUCUACACUUCGCGUCCCUCUUCGUGCAUGCUGCAAGAGAAGGCACUGAAAGCGUGCUUCAGCGGGCUCGCUCAGAGAGACUGGCAACACCGCCGGAGCGCACAGUCCAUCGAGACCCAGAGCACCAGUUCUGAGGAGCUGGUCCCAAGCCCCCCAUCCCCCCCUGCCCCCGCCCCGCGUCUACAAGCCCUGCUUCGUGUGCCAGGACAAGUCCUCGGGGUACCACUAUGGUGUCAGCGCCUGCGAGGGCUGCAAGGGUUUUUUCCGUAGAUCCAUCCAGAAGAACAUGGUCUACACGUGUCACCGGGACAAGAACUGCAACAUAAACAAGGUGACCAGGAACCGCUGUCAGUACUGCCGGCUCCAGAAGUGCUUUGGCGUGGGCAUGUCCAAAGAGUCUGUCCGGAAUGACCGCAAUAAGAAGAAGAAGGAGAGUCCCAAGCCAGAGCUGACAGAGAACUACGAGCUGAGUGCAGAACAAGAGGCCAUCAUAGAGAAGAUACGCAAGGCUCAUCAGGAGACCUUCCCAUCGCUCUGCCAGCUGGGGAAAUACACCACGAAGUCGAGUGCGGAACAACGCGUGAGGCUGGACCUGGGCCUGUGGGAUAAGUUCAGUGAGCUGGCUACUAAGUGCAUUAUAAAGAUCGUGGAGUUUGCCAAACGAGUACCUGGUUUUACAGGACUCACCAUAGCUGACCAGAUCACGCUGCUUAAAGCUGCCUGCCUCGACAUACUGAUUCUACGUAUCUGUACCCGGUACACUCCGGACCAGGACACCAUGACGUUCUCAGACGGGCUGACCCUGAACCGGACCCAGAUGCACAACGCAGGCUUCGGCCCGCUCACCGACCUGGUGUUCACCUUCGCCCACCAGCUGCUGCCCAUGGAGAUGGACGACACAGAGACUGGCCUGCUCAGUGCCAUCUGCCUCAUCUCUGGAGACCGGCAGGAUCUGGAGGAACCCUCUAAGGUCGACCAGCUCCAGGAGCCUCUACUGGAAGCUCUGAAGAUCUAUGUGAGGAAGAGGAGGCCCAGCAAGCCACACAUGUUCCCCAAGGCCCUGAUGAAGAUCACUGACCUCCGCAGCAUCAGCGCCAAAGGUGCGGAGCGGGUCAUCUCGCUGAAGAUGGAGAUCCCUGGCUCCAUGCCUCCUCUGAUCCAGGAGAUGCUAGAGAACUCAGAGGGACAAGACGGCCAGAGCAGCACCCAGGGCGAGGAUGGCAGCAGCCCCAAGAAGGGCACCCCUAAGGGGGGUACGGGGGGUAAAUCCUCCCCUGUGUCCCCUGACCCCUCAGACAGCGAUGGGCCCACAGUGGCCCCUGAGGAGGAAGAGGACCCCUAGGUCCCCGUGGAACUCAAGGCCUCUCAGACAGACACUCUCUCUAUUUGACAUUCCUUUGCACAAAAAAAAACGAAAAAUAGGUCGACAGCCAGGCAUGGUGGACCCCCUCUCCUCCUCCCCUCAGGCCUUCGGUCCCUUGGUGACCACCACCACCUUCGCUUGUUCUUAUGUUUUCCUUUACGUUUGUUUUUUCCUUCUCUCUCUUUAUCUCUUCAUUUCCCCUUAAAAAACGACAGCACUAAGGCCUAAAUGGCACAGUUGUUGGUUUGUGUAUAAUUCUAAAUUGAUUGAGGUUGUGUCUCGGGACCCUGGUGUGAUUGGUCGAGUUGGGUUUGACCCCGCCUGGCCACACCCACUUACCUGUACACAAAGGUCAUAGGUCAUCCUCCUCAGGUCUCCUGUGUAAAUUCAUCCCUGCAUGACGGGCUUGCCGAGUUUAAUGCGUGGUUUUAACCUCCCUCUCUCUCUCUCAUAUUGUUGAAUACAUUGUACAUACCAUUGUAUGGUUAGAAAUCUCUGUUUCUAUGACGAAUUUUGUGGUGCUUUUUUCAUUGUCUUAAAUAUUAUAGUUUGAGGCGAAACAGUACAUACAUGACAAGGUUUAAAGGGGGGCUAAAAUAUAACGUCCUUUACAAAAACAGUUACUUAGAAUGUUCUUGCAUAUAGACAGUCUGGAAGACUAAUACUUUAUAUUUGUUCCUAUAUUUAACGUUUGUUUUUUGGUCUUUUAUGACUCUUUAUGUUGAUGUCUCGUUGAGUGUACAUUGCAUUCACCAUAAAGCCAGUGCUAGAGGCUUCUCUCCCGUAUCAGCGGCUGCAUCUCUUCAGCUGUUUCCUCAAGGGGGGAAGCCAGACUGUAGAGGCCAUAGAUAUACAAUGACUAGAUUGAAUCUAGAUGUUCAAUUACUAGAUUGGAUCUGUCUACUGCAGAUAACAGCUUGUAAUGUAAUGUACAGGGUUUCUGAGGCUAAAAGGCUUCUGAGAUUUUAUCAGAAAAUGCCAUUCCAGGAGACAAACCAAGCAGUCUUAACCAGUGAAAUCUUUCUGCUUAAAGAUAAGGGUUGAGCAACACUCAUUGACAAAGACGUUAUUUAACCCAAACAUGGACCACUGAGAAAUCGAACCGUUGUUUUAAAUUGAAUUUGGUUAUACAGUAUAUUUGAAGUUCCCUCGCAAUUCUCUUGAACAUUCUCCACCAUCUGUGCAGAGAAAUGCAUUCUUAUUAUAGUAAAAUCUAAAUUGUUUCUCUGAUGCAGUUUCAAUCUAGUAAGUGUACAUUUAUGGCUAACGACAACUACAAGCAUCUGGGCAACAAAAAACGCACAUUGGGUUCUGGAGUACCCCCAGAAUCACUACCUACCCCUUAUAUACAUACAGAAGUGUCUUGUUUUGGCAGUAAACCACGGGGACAUUGCAAUCCUUAAAAUACAUAUUCAUGAGCUAACCACAUGGCCGGGAAGAUUGUACACUAGACUAAUGUAAGGGAUUCUAGAACCCACUACGCAUUCCUAGUUCUAGUUCUACAGACAGAAUGACUGACUGUUGCCUUGUUCCUCAGACGGUCUCGUACAAAACCACAUUGAUGCAAAUGAGAUUCUUUACACAUGACCCUUAGCCCCUAAAACAUGCAGUACGCUCGGGUAGCGUUCAUUCGGGGUGUUCAGAUAGAAAUAUAUUAUGUAGACAUGCGCUUCUCUGUCAUGUAGAAUAGGGAAUCAUGUCAGUUCUGUAACAACAAGACAUUUCUAUCUGUAACGUUACCUCCUGAAUGCAGCACUGUUUUCUGUUUUGUCCCACAUCGGCCACUGCAACAGCCCUCCUGAUCUUAUGAAUAUAUUCUUAGUAAAGCUGCUUUUCUUCAGCGCCAAAAGGGAUAGAUUCAAUCCGUAGCGCUGAAGAUCUGUGGUAUACUGGGAUUCAAAUUUAAAGGCAAUGUUCCCGCGUUUGGGGAGACUGCAUUCACGUUAAACGCUGCAUAUGUCAGCUCAAUUGGAAAUGACCUUUAACUUUCAAUUGCGUUAUAUGGGGUGGCAGGGUAGCCUAGUGGUUAGAGCAUUGGACUAGUAACCGAAAGGUUGCAAGUAAAAUAUACCAUGGAUCUUCAGCUCUAUGGAUUGAAUCUAGCCAUAAAUCACUGAGUAGAAUUUAGACACUAUUUAGAAAGUUAAUAGCCUAGAAUACACAUUGAAUAUUGCUCUGUUUGUUCCUUUGUUGUGAAGUGAAACAGUGAUAUUCAGUGUGGAAGCCAGGCUAGGAAGUUAAUACUACAGCUAGGAAGAACUAGGACCUCUUCAGUCCCUUAUCACCUGUCCUAGCCUGGUAUCACUUGUGUUUGAAAGGAUAAGGAUAGAUAAUAUUGUUUACUCAGAUGUUGACUCGUUACUCAACUGUAGCACGAAGGCAAUACUUCUCAUAGCACUUAUAAAUCUUGAAUCUUGAAUAUGUAGCCAAUACAAUGUUAAGGGUGAUGGUAAUAUACAAUAUUCUUUCUCACUCUUAAGGGUAAUAAUAAUUUGGCAUAAACUAUGAGGGAUUAUUGAGUCAUUCAUCAGAAGGUUCUUUAUUCUGAAUGAAGGCAAAAGUCAUUGUUGAACCACAAGGGAAUGGAUGACCACUAUAGUCAGUCAGCUAGAAUCAAGGUUAGGGUCAAUUCCAAUUUAAUUCUUCCAGUUUAGGAAUGGACUGACUUGAUAUGGAAUUGACCCCAACCCUGGCUAGAACCCUCCAGAAACAUCUCACAGACAACCAUCUCCUCCAUAUCUGUCCCACACGAUCAUAUCUUAAGGGGAAAACAAAACUGUCUCAGUUUACCAUGUUUGAAUGUGAAUAUGUUGUGAAGGAGAUACAUAGGAAUGAUAUGCAGUGUUAAAGGAAUACUUACUUUAAAGCAGCGUUUCGUCAAAUUCAUUGCAUCUCAUAGUAUGUAUGAAAAAAAGGAAAUGCUCUCUUUCCCUCUCUUUGUAGGAGAGAGAAGGAUGUAGGGGGAAACAAUCCUGGUGGCUCAUCACAAGAGCAGUGUGGGUGAAUCUCAAUAGUCUUCCCUACAUUCCUAUCCAACUUCUCAAAACACAUUGAAGGAAAGGGUGCAGAACCUCAGACCUUCUCCGCCAAUGUGUGUUGUUGAGGAGGUGAGGAAUCAACAAAAGACUUUUUGAGUUUUACCCCGAGUGUCUUUGAAGCUGGAAAAGUUAUUUCACAGCUGAAGAAUGUCUACAUCCAACUCCCUGAAGUGUCCACAGCGCUGCCUACAGGCACCAGGUGACAUGGCAGGGAACUCUGAUCCAUUCCACAAUACUGAAUUUACUACGUUGAUUUCUGUUGAAUGUUGUACCGAUGUAACUGUUAAUAUUUACUACUACUAUCUCACUGCAGACUUCUCCAUGUAUUAGAUGGUGUGUGUGUGUGUAGUGUGCAUUGCGUUUCAAUGAAUGGCAGCGCUUAGCUACCAGACCUCUGAGCUUCAUCUCAUAGCCAGCCCCUCUUGGGUAGCAGCUGCUCACCUCCACACCAUUUAGGACCACGUGGUCUCAGAACCUGAGCAUGGUUCGCAAAAUUCCAGAAAUGUUCCCAAAAUGCCCUUUUUUUAAGGAAUCACGGUUGGAGGUUUUUCGGAUUCUGGAGUAAUAAGCUAAAGGAAAUUCCAACGUGGAACACUUUCUGCUUUGUUUUUUUUAACGGAAUUUUGAAACCCUAGUUGCCCCCAAUGUCAUCACUGAUCAAACGACAGAGAUGCUUUCCGCUCUUUAGUUGGAAUGCCAAGCAGCUGUCACAAUCAACCAAUCAACUGACAGCAAUUUGGUUAAGUCAAUAACGGAAUAAGAUCAAUACAUGUGGAUCGCAUUCAGGAAGGGGGCAAUUUAUUAAACAUCGCAGAUAGAAAUACACUGAAUAGAGCUAGCAGGAUGAUUCCAUACUCUACAAAUCAGUGGUGUAUGUUCUACGCAACAUAUUUCUAUCCGAAUGUACCACAAUGCUGUGUGCCCUACUGAACGCGGCUCAUGAUCCAACUAUUCCGUAGAAGCCAGAGAGAACAUGAUUGUGAACCUCAAAAAUGUCACCAACGAAAGCAGCUCUGUUGUUAUGCCUGUUCAAAAAGUGUCAAUGUUCAAAAGUUUAACAUUUACAGAUAAUGUAUAUGAUUGCCAUUGGUAUGAGAAAAAUACCAUUGUCAUCAUAUAUGCAGUGUUGUAUAGUUAUUAUGAAGAGACAUGAUCAGAUUAUGGUUGAGGUUUCUUUGGCUUACUGGACUUGAGGGUGGGCGGGGCAGCAGGGAGGGGUUGUCAUGGUGAUAAUACAUUUACCCAGAACCUCCUGCUGGCCUGGUGGGAAGAGGGCAGGAAGUCCUUAUAAGGAGUUUUACAGUGAGCUUCUAUCUUGUUUUCAUUCUCCAUUUUCAAUAUUGUCUGUACAUUAACAAUGCUUUUUAUGUUAAUAUACUGUUUAACUUUACCAUGAAAUGUCCUGGCAAAGUAACACAAAUAUAUUUAUUUUAAAAUAUAUAAUGCGUGGAUGUAUUAUAACCUGAAUAUUUUUGAUUUGCUGUAGCCUCGAAGCCUUGAAUACUGUGUGUGUGUGUAUAUAUCAUGUUCCUAAGGUUCUGCUCUGCAGGAAAUAGAGUGAAGUUAAUUAAGAAAAUCACAUUCAAAAAGGACAGAAAACCCAACGGCCAGAGAAUAAUUUACAUUUCAUUGUUUACUUCCAAGUUCUUGUUCAAAAAGGUACAUUGUCUCUUUGACUUUUUAACAGUUAAAAUGUGCUGAAGCACCGCGUUCCUAACUUCUAAAAGCUGCUUAGGACAAAUACAGAACAUUUCCAUGGUAAUAAUAAAAAACAAAAUUGUAUUGUAUGUAUAAUAAAAAGUGUAAAACACCUA